AUCCGUCUUAAUGUUUUCUGUAGUUUUGUAGGAGGGCUUCACUAUUUAAAGACUUUGAUGCUCACAAAAUCAAUCUUUUUUUUUCUUUUUUUUUUUUAAGAGAGAACUCAUGACGCGCUUGGAGAGAUCAAAGAAAAUCAAGAGAGAACCAACAUUGAACUUGGAGAAGUGAAAGAAAAUCAAGAGAGAGCCAACAUUGAGCUUGGAGAAGUGAAAG